rnacentral:rRNA from 1 species
AGAACGAACGCUGGCGGCAGGCUUAACACAUGCAAGUCGAGCGCUGUAGCAAUACAGAGCGGCAGACGGGUGAGUAACGCGUGGGAACAUACCCUCCGGUUCGGAAUAACUCAGGGAAACUUGAGCUAAUACCGAAUACGGUCGAGAGGCGAAAGAUUUAUCGCCGGAGGAUUGGCCCGCGUCCGAUUAGCUAGUUGGUGUGGUAAUGGCGCACCAAGGCGACGAUCGGUAGCUGGUCUGAGAGGAUGAUCAGCCACAUUGGGACUGAGACACGGCCCAAACUCCUACGGGAGGCAGCAGUGGGGAAUAUUGGACAAUGGGCGAAAGCCUGAUCCAGCCAUGCCGCGUGAGUGAUGAAGGCCUUAGGGUUGUAAAGCUCUUUCACCCACGACGAUAAUGACGGUAGUGGGAGAAGAACGCCCGGACUAACUUCGUGCCAGCAGCCGC